rnacentral:rRNA from 1 species
UACGGGGGGGGGCAAGCGUUGUUCGGAAUUACUGGGCGUAAAGGGCUCGUAGGUGGCCAACUAAGUCAGACGUGAAAUCCCCAGGCUCAACUUAGGAACUGCGUCUGAUACUGGAUGGCUUGAAUUCGGGAGAGGGAUGCAGAAUUCCAGGUGUAGCGGUGAAAUGCGUAGAUAUCUGGAGGAACACCGGUGGCGAAGGCGGCAUCCUGGACCGAGAUUGACGCUGAUGAGCGAAAAGCUAGGGGGAGCAAACGGG